GCAACCAUAUAACUUCGGUUCCCCUAAAAUCACAGAAGUUAAGGAACAUCGAGCCUGGUCAGUACUUAGAGGAGUGACCGCUUGGGAAUACCAGGUGCUGUAAG